CGAACGUUAGCGGUGUGGAUUAGGCAUGCAAGUCGAGCGCGAAAGUCCGCAAGGAUGAGUAAAGCGGCGAACGGGUGAGUAAUACGUAAUCAACCUACCCCCGAGAUCGGAAUAACCAUUGGAAACGAUGGCUAAUGCUGGAUGGCCCUGCGGGCUGGCAUCUGCCUGCAGGUAAACGGUGGCGCAAGCUGCUGUUCGGGGACGGGAUUACGGGCUAUCAGCUAGUUGGCGGGGUAAAAGCCCACCAAGGCUAUGACGGCUAGCCGAUCUGAGAGGAUGACCGGCCACACUGGGACUGAGACACUGCCCAGACUCCUACGGGAGGCUGCAGUCGAGGAUCUUCCGCAAUGGGCGAAAGCCUGACGGAGCGACACCGCGUGCAGGAUGAAGGCCUUCGGGUUGUAAACUGCUGUCACGCCAUAGGAACCGCUGAGGGUGAAUAUCCCUCAGUCUGACUAAAGCGAAAGGAAGCACCGGCUAACUCUGUG
rnacentral:rRNA from 1 species